CAAUAGCGUAUAUUAAAGUUGUUGCAGUUAAAAAGCUCGUAGUUGGAUUUGUGGCGGACGGUGGGUUCCGGGCACUUGUUGUCUGAGUAACUUGCUGUUGCCAUCCUUGGGUGGAACCUGUGUGGCAUUAGGUUGUCGUGCAGGGGAUGCCCAUCAUUUACUGUGAAAAAAUUAGAGUGUUCAAAGCAGGCUUAUGCCGUUGAAUAUAUUAGCAUGGAAUAAUGAGAUAGGACUUUUUUGCUAUUUUGUUGGUUUGCGCAAAGAGGUAAUGAUUAAUAGGGACAGUUGGGGGUAUUCGUAUUCCAUUGUCAGAGGUGAAAUUCUUGGAUUUUUGGAAGACGAACUACUGCGAAAGCAUUUACCAAGGAUGUUUUCAUUAA
rnacentral:rRNA from 1 species